rnacentral:rRNA from 1 species
CCUACGGGUGGCUGCAGUGGGGAAUAUUGGGCAAUGGGCGCAAGCCUGACCCAGCAACGCCGCGUGAAGGAAGAAGGCUUUCGGGUUGUAAACUUCUUUUGACAGGGAAGAGCAGAAGACGGUACCUGUCGACUAAGCCACGGCUAACUACGUGCCAGCAGCCGCGGUAAUACGUAGGUGGCAAGCGUUGUCCGGUUUUACUGGGGGGAAAGGGCGUGUAGCCGGGCUGACAAGUCAGAUGUGAAAUCCGGGGGCUCAACCCCCGAACUGCAUUUGAAACUGUUGGUCUUGAGUAUCGGAGAGGCAGGCGGAAUUCCUAGUGGAGCGGUGAAAUGCGUAGAUAUUAGGAGGAACA